rnacentral:tRNA from 1 species
UCCCGGAUAGCUCAGUUGGUAGAGCAAGUGACUGUUAAUCACUGGGUCGCAGGUUCGAGUCCUGCUC